AACGAACGCUGGCGGCAGGCUUAACACAUGCAAGUCGAGCGCCCCGCUAGUGGAGCGGCCGUCGGGAGAGUAACGCGUGGUCAUCUACCCAUCGCUACGGAAUAACGUAUGUAACUGGCUGUUAAUACCGUAUACGCCCUUCGGGAGGAAUGUUUAUCGGAGAUGGAUGAACCCGCGUUGGAUUAGCUAGUUGGCAGGGUAAAGGCCUACCAAGGCGACGAUCCAUAGCUGGUCUGAGAGGAUGAUCGGCCACACUGGGACUGAGACACGGCCCAGACUCCUACGGGAGGCAGCAGUGGGGAAUAUUGGACAAUGGGGGAAAGCCUGAUCCAGCCAUGCCGCGUGAAUGAUGAAGGACUUAGGGUUGUAAAGCUCUUUCACCGGUGAAGAUAAUGACGGUAACCGGCGAAGAAGCCCCGGCUAACUUCGUGCCAGCAGCCGCCGUAACAC
rnacentral:rRNA from 1 species